rnacentral:antisense_RNA from 1 species
UUUCUUUUCUGUUUUUUUUUUUUAACGAAGAAGUGAGUAUUUUAUUAUUUUGCUGCAAAGCUCUUGCUUCACUGUAUAAAAAUAGCACCAGUAAAUGCAAUGUAUUGCAAAAUCAAGAUAGUGUUGUUCUUCAUCUGACACUGUACAAGCAACAAAAACUUCUUCUAUCCCAGUUAUUUCCAAUGGAAAGAUCAUUAAGUAUUUCAUCCCAAAUCCAGGUAUGGACAUACACAAGUUACAAUAUUAUAUAAGGCUUAAGAAUAACAACAUUAUCUUUGAAUUAUGUAAUUUUUAUAACUAAUUUUUACCAUGGAUAAUUUCAUGAAUUCUGAAUACUAGAGCCUAGUCUAAAAAUCAUAGGAUAUUGUGAAAAAGACACGCAUUAUGUUUAUGUACAAUCAUUAGAAAGUUAAAAGGCAUCUUCUUUCAUUCGCAGUGUUAACAGUAGUUUUUUUUCCCCAUGGGUAAUGCUAAAAGUUGCUAUUCUAAGUCUUCUAUCCACCACUAAUUUAGGACAACUCUGCUGGGUUGCGUUAUUUCAUACUAGCUUAUUUAGUGGUUCCAUUUUCACUCCUCAGUAGACUUUAUGUAUUUCUCAUAUGCUUCUUCACUCAUAAGUUCAUCUAGUUAUGAAGGGUUACUCAGUGUCAUCUUGAUCAGCCAACCAUCUUCAUAACAAGAUUUGUUUACAAGUCCUGGAUUUUCUGCAAGAGCAUCAUUAAUUUCGGUUACUUCUCCUGAUAAAGGAGAAUAGAGUUCGCUAGCAGCUUUCACACUUUCCAAAGCACCAAACUCAUCUUGUUUGUUCAAUUUUGUCCCAACUUCAGGCAGACUAUAGUAAACAUCUCCCAACGCUUCCCCACAGCAGAGUGGGUCCCAUGCGCAGCAACCGUACGGCGCCCAUCCCAAGCUGCCAGGGCCUCGACACACAGGGCGCAGCAGGUGCCAGGACCGCGUGCAGACUGCAGAGCACGGCCCGCACGCUCCGCACCACUCGCAGCGCCAUGUUCCCAGCGGUGCGGGGAUAGCAGCGCUACGCGGGGAGGCGGGGCGGGGCGGGGCGGGCAGAAGUAAAUUUCUUUAUAAAUUACCCAGUCUGGGCCUGGUGUGUUGGCUCACAUGUGUAAUUCCAGAACUUUGGCAGGCCAAGGUGGAAGGAGCGCCUGGGCCCAGGGGUUCAAGACGAGCCUGGGCAACUUAGUGAGACCUGUCUCUAUAAAAAAUUUUAAAAAAUUAGCUUGGCGCGGUGACAAAUUUGGUGCAAUUUUAAGGUUUACAUUUUUUUUUUGUAGAAAUAGGAUCUUGCUAUGCAGUCCAGGCUGGUCUUGAACUCCUCACCUCAACUGAUCCUCCUGCCUUGAACCCCCAAAAUGCUGGGCUUAUAGGUGUGAGCCACUGCACCUGCUGUUUUUAAAGAUAUUGUGACAUACUAUUAUUCUAAAACCUUAUCCUUUGU